GAAACACCUCUAUGGAGCAGGACUUGCUUCAGUGGGACUUUGGUGCUCACUGAGUCUGCCCCACGAAUGUGUUGCU
rfam:Myotis davidii contig175005, whole genome shotgun sequence.